AUCCAUUUAAGAUCCAAUAAAUUCAACGGCAUUAUUCCUCCACAAAUAUGCCAACUUUCUUCUCUUAUAGUAUUGGAUUUCGCUGAUAAUAAUCUAUCAGGAGAGAUACCGAAGUGCUUGAAUAAUUUCAGUGCUAUGGCUGAAGGACCUAUCCGGGGUCAGUAUGAUAUUUGGUAUGAUGCUUUGGAAGUAAAGUACGAUUAUGAAUCUUACAUGGAAAGUCUUGUUUUAGAUAUAAAGGGGAGGGAAUCAGAGUAUAAAGAGAUUCUUAAAUAUGUUAGGGCCAUCGACCUUUCAAGUAACAAUUUAUCAGGAUCAAUCCCAGUUGAAAUCUUUAGUCUCUCCGGAUUGCAAUUUCUAAACUUAUCUUGCAAUCAUUUAAGGGGAAUGAUAUCAGCGAAAAUUGGAGGCAUGGAAUACUUAGAAUCUUUGGAUCUCUCUAGAAACCGUCUUUCAGGUGAAAUUCCUCAAAGCAUUGCCAAUUUAACAUUUCUUAGUUAUCUGAACGUGUCGUACAACAAUUUUUCUGGAAGAAUUCCUUCAAGCACCCAGCUUCAAAGCUUGGAUCCGCUUUCUUUCUUUGGCAAUGCUGAACUGUGUGGAGCCCCUCUUACGAAAAACUGCACAAAAGAUGAAGAGCCUCAAGAUACAAACACCGAUGAAGAAAGUAGAGAACAUCCUGAAAUCGCAUGGUUUUACAUUGGCAUGGGAACAGGAUUUGUUGUGGGGUUCUGGGGAGUUUGUGGAGCCCUCUUUUUCAAAAGAGCUUGGAGGCAUGCUUAUUUUCGGGUUCUUGAUGACAUGAAAGACAGGGUCUAUGUGGUUAUAGCAUUAAGGUUGAAAUGGUUGCAAAACAACCUGAGAAGAUACUUUCUCGGUAAGGGAAAAAAACAUAUUUUCAUUACCUCAUGUAAGGUUUUGCAUCAAAUUCAAUUUUCCUCUGAACACUCAUUUGUUCUUGUUGAUGCUGUAGGUUCUGCCAUUUUAUCCCUGUUUCAUCGUGUACUUAAUUGAAUGUAUUUGUCUCAGACGACAUGAAUUUUGUCUUUGACAGAUUUACGAUGUUUAAGGGGUCGCAGCGAAAGAGAGAAGGUAAUGGAUGGUGGUGGAACCUGAAGAAACUGGGGAAAACAUUCCAGGUGGAUGUCUUCUUAACCCUCUUAACCCGAUAUUUUCUUAUUGUACUAGUGUUCCGAUGCCUCUAAAAUGAAAGAAGAGGAGAAGAUCGAAGAAGAGAAGUAACUUGUCAUUUCAAAAUUUGUAUUAUUCCAUUGCCAAACUAAACCUUUCUAUUAGUUCAUUAUAACCUGGUUUUAAAUAUUUGCAGGGAGCACAUGCAUAACCUCAUCAAGUUGACAUGUUUCCACAACUUCAGUACUGAGACGCCUAAAGAUUUUGUUCUCAAGUCUGCAGCAUUUAUCAAGUUGGCGGUGUUGUUAUGGAUAUUAUACUUUAUUCUAUGUUAUUUGCUGUUAUGUUAAACUAGAUAAGUUACUUCUUGUUAUAUAUAUAUCAUCAGAAGAUGAGCAUUCAGAUAUUUUCAUAGAUAUCAUUUGCAGGUAUUUCAGCUAAUGAAACAGCCACUUAGAAGUUUCCAAAUCAUAUUGACUCAGUUUUGCUAGAAAUAGAGUAACAAAGAGCACAACGAGGAAACUAAGAUGGUGGUGCUUUAGCUCCAUCCCCAUUGAAAUGUUAAUAGAAUUGGGAUUUGGGGGAAGCACAAGCUUAAUUUUCAAAGCCAAGGAAAUCUUUUUCAGAUAUUAAAUUAUUGAAGUAAAGAGAGAUCUUCACAAGUCUUGAUAGUUUGUUUCCUAGCGUUUACCCGAUGGUCUAAGUCCACAAAUUUGAAUGGUACUCAAAGACUUUCGAGAUCAGUUGAUUGACUUUGUUGUUCUCUUUGAGCGGCAGUCCAACAUUUGGACAUAUCCAAAGGAGCCUUAAGUGCCUUUUAUUAUUAUUAUUAUUAUUUUACCAUUUAUGUGGUGGAGAAUGCAGAAAAUGCAUCAAAGUCAUUGAUAUGAAAACCAGCCAUUGACCCAAUGUCUUGCAACUUGGAGGCAAAACACUUAAAAAAGUACAUAUUGGAUUAACAAAAUAUAGGAGGAAAAUCAUUUUCCAUGAAAUAGUAUAUAUUGGUAAAAAGAAAAAACUGAUUUUUUAUGUUACCUGUGGGGUUUUGAUUGCAGAAAACAUGAGCUUGUAACCAUAAGGAGCCCUUGAAUUAUAUUAUAUAUAUGCCUCUGCUUCUUUUGGGGUCAGUUGAUUAACUUUAGGUUAAAUCUAGUUUUUGAAAAAUUUGAGGGAAAGAAAAUAAAGAGGAAACAAAUUAUAAUUCUACACCCAAAAAUAUACCUUAGCAAACCAUAACUUUCAAGUAAUCAAUUAUAUGAACUCAACGGCCCCCCACUUGUUUUAAACAUUGAUUAUAUGACAUUAAAUUCUUACAUUUUGAAUCACAAUUUCUCCCUUGGUAAAAGUCAUAUUUAUGGAGGUCUUGGGAAGUUUGUCUCCAUGCGUUUACCAUGAACUAUAAGCCCUUGUAUUUGAUAGUAGUGAAGACUUUGGGGUUAGUUGAUUAACUUUAUGCUAGGUUUGGUUUUUGGAAAAUUUGAGAGGGAAUGCAUAGGAAAUAAAUAUAAGGGAAAAAAAAAUUGUCAUUCUAAACCCAGAAAUCUGCAUUAGCAAAUCCAUAGCUUUCAAGUAAUCAACUAUAUGAACUCAAAGGGCCCCUCCACGUGUUUUAAACAUCAAUUAUAUGGCAUUAAAUUCUUGCAUUUUGGAUUGCUGGGCAUGAGUCAUCUUUGUGGAGGUCUUAGGAAGUUUGUCUCCAUGCGUUUAUCGUGAACUAUAAAUCAUUGUAUUUAAUUAUAGUAAAGACUUUUGGGAUCAGUUGAAUGACUUUAAGGUUAAGUUUGAUUUUUGGAUUGCUUGGCAUGAGUCAUCUUUGUGGAGGUCUUAGGAAGUUUGUCUCCAUGCGUUUAUCGUGAACUAUAAAUCAUUGUAUUUAAUUAUAGUAAAGACUUUUGGGAUCAGUUGAAUGACUUUAAGGUUAAGUUUGAUUUUUGGAAAUUUGAGGGAGAAUGGGAGGGAAAUAAAAUAGUGAGGGGAAAUUGUCAUUUUGUGUCAUCUUUACGGAAGUCUUAGGAAGUUUGUCUUCAUGUGUUUACCAUGAACUACAAGUCCUUGUAUUUGAUAAUUGUGAAGACUUUUGGAUUAGUUGAUUAACUUUAGGAUAGGUAUAGUUUUUGGAAAACUUGAGAGGGCAUUGGAAAUAAAUACAAAGAAAAAAAAUUGUCAUUCUAAACCUAGAAAUUUGCAUUAGAAAACCCAUAGCUUUCAAGUAAUCAACUAUAUGAACUUAAAGGCCCCUCCACUUGUUUUAAACAUGUAUUAUGUGGCAUUAAAAUAUUACAUUUUGGAUCACAAUUUCUCCCUUGGCAUAAGUCAUCUUUAUGGAGGUCUUGGGCAGUUUGUCUCUAUGCAUUUACCAUGAACUAUAAGUCCUUGCAUUUGAUAAUAGUGAAGACUUUGCGUUCAGUUGAUUAACUUUAGGCUAAGUUUGGUUUCUGAAAAAUUUGAGGGAGAAUGGAAGGGAAAGAAAUUAGUGAGGAACAAUUGUCAUUCUACGUUAGCAAACCACAACUUUUAAGUAAUCAAUUAUAUGAACUCAAAAGGCCCCUCUACUUGUUUUAAACAUUGAUUGUAUGACAUUAAAUUCUUGCAUUUUGGAUCCCAGUUUCUCCCUUGGCAUGAGUCAUCUUUUUUGAGGUCUUGUAAAAUUUGUCUUGAUGCAUUUACAUGGACUAUAAGUCCUUGUAUUAGGAUAAUAGUGAAGAUUUUGGGGGGCAGUUGAUUACCUUUAGGCUAAGUUUGGUUUUUGUAAAAUUUAAGGGAGAAUGUGAAGGAAAGAAAAUAAAGAGGAAAAUAUAAGGAAAGAAAAAGUGAAAAAAAAAAUUGAAACCAAUUAAUUAUUUUAGAAGGUUAAUUUCAUUCAUCUUCUCUAUGGUUUUGGAUAGAAACAUCUAACCCUUAUUGGUUUAAAAUUUCAUUAAAUACCUUUUAUAUUUUUUUCAUUUAUUAUUUUUAUUCACCUCAUCUUUUACUGAAAAUAAGAGAAGUAUUUGAUAAAAUUCAAACCAAUGGGGUCAAAUGAUUUUCUUUUAUAUUUUUCAUCGUAAAACUAAAUACAAAAAAAUUAGUUUCCUUAAUAUUUUUGCUCAUAUCAAGGAAGCACGAACAACCUCUAACAAGUGCCAAUUUUUCCAUUCAGCAACUCCAUUUUGCUGGGGUGUAUUGGAACAAGUAGUCUGAUGAAUGAUGUCAUGUUCUUCCAAAUACUUUUGAAGAUCAGAACUCUGAUAUUCUCCACCAUUAUCACUACGCAAAACCCGAACCUUGCAUUGUACUGAGUUUCAAUCAUUUUAUGAAAAUUUUGAAACAACAAGUUCACUUCAUCUUUGGUCUUCAUCAAGUAUAACCAUGUCAUUCUGGUACAAUCAUCAAUAAAAGUAACAAAUCAACGUGAGCUACUCAAAGUUGGGACUUUGGAUGAGCCCUAAACAUCAGAAUGUAUAACCAUAAAAGGAAGCAGACUUUUAUUCAAAAUUAACGGAAACGAAGCACGAUGGUUUUUAGCCAAUUCACAAAUAUCAUAACGGAAACCAGAAAUAUCACUCUUUGCAAACAAACUAGGAAACAAUUUUUUUAAAUAACCAAAGGAAGCAUGUCCUAGACGUCGAUGCCACAACCAAAUUUCAGACUUUUUCUUCUCCUCCUCAGAUCCAUUUGCCAUCAAGGCUUGUUGUAACUUAUUUGAAUCCUUUGAAUGCAAGUCCAAGUAAUAGAGUUUUCCCCGCUUAAUAUCACAACCAAUUGUCUGUCUUGUUUGGAUGUCCUUAAUCACACAAAAUUCAAGCCAAAAAAUGACAAUACAAGAUAAGGCUGCAGUGAUUUGAGAAACUAACAAAAGAUUGUAAUCUAGAGAUGAAACAACUAAAACAGAAUCCAAAUUCAAAGUAUCAAUAAGAGUCAAGGAUCCUUCCCCAAUGACUGGGGUUGUGUUACCAUUGGCUGUGGAAACAAUUUUUUGUGAGGAAGGUCUAAAGGGUGAAACCUGUCUAGAAUCAAAAGUCAUAUGAUCUGUAACACCAUAAUCAAUUAUCAAUGCACUAUUAAUAACAGGUGUAAAAGUAUUUAAAAACUUACCACCAUGAUUUGUAGCGGCUACCAAUGCAGAGGCUUUCUCAGCAACAUUAGCCUUUGUUUUUAUUUCGACAACAGUUGCAAUCGAGGUUUUCUUGGAAUCCUUAUUUCGUUGAUCACGAUUAUUAUCAAUAAUAACAAAGUGGUGAUAGCCUAAACAUGAUCUAAAGGUCCAUGGUUCAAACCCUUGGUUCUUCCUUGUUUUCCUGGUCAUACCAAGAGUCAUUGCUUUGAAAUUGUGGGAUAUCCAGACUAGUAAGAUCAGUCUUAUUGUAGUGAAUGCAUUUGAAGGUUGACUUAUCAAUAUUAGGGCUUGUCUUAGGAUGGUUGAUCGUUGUCGGACUACCAUAGCAACAAAAUAUCCAGGAUUUCAAUUCCAUGGCUCUGAUACUAUCUUCAAAUUGAUAAAUGGUAGUUUUUUCAUUUAUUCUUUCAUUCGUUCAUGUACAGAGUAUAUAUAGAGGGUAAUCACCAUUCUAAGAAUGGGAAAGAAUGAUACAAGGAAAGAAUAAUAUAAGGAAAUAACAACUAAUAUCCUAAUAUCUCAAUAUUCCUAAUAUCUCAACUUUCCUAAUAUCUAAACAUUCCUAAUAUCUCAACACUAAAUGAUACAAGGAAAGAAUGAUAUAAGGAAAACAUUUCUAAUAUCUCAACAAAAUGUCAAUUGUUAAGAGUGUUUUAAAGGAGAUAGUUUUGACGUGGAAAUGGAGAAAAUUAAAGCUUUCUAAUAGUCAAUUUGGAGGUGGUUUUCAUUAUGUUAUUAAAAAAAUAGUAAAGAAGAUAAAAUAUAAUUAAAAUUAGUUAGAUAUUUUGGUAUUUUAAAAUUAUAUACUCUUUAUAUAAAAAAGUUAGAAUAAGUGUACCAAUAUUUAAAAAAGAAUUACAAAUUGGAGGGAGAAUUACCAAAAAAUUGUAAAUUUUUCUUCAAAUCAAACUAUACUACCAUAUUAAACUAUUAAAUUUUCUAAAAACUUAAAUUUAAAGGAUUUAGACUCAAUAUACAUAUCAUGCUCCUUAAUAGAUAUAACAUUUAAAAAUAAUUUAUUGAUUUUAAAUGUUAUUUCUAUUUUCUUUUCCUUUUUUUUUUCCCUAUUUUCUCUCUAAUAUAACUAAAAAGUAGAUCUAUAUCAUGAGCUUUAUGCAUCAUUGUAAAUCUAUAUUGCAUGAUAGAGGCAAAAAGAUUUUCUUUUGUGGGAAAUUAAUUAGCUAUAUAAAAUUCAAAAAUUAUAAAAUUGAUUUGCAACAAAAUUAGCUAUUUUGUUUUAGAAAAAAAUUCUAAAAUAAUUUGGAGCUAUUAGGCUUAAAUCCCAUUUGAGCGUCAUCUUUAUCCAUUUCUUGGAUAUUUUAUUUUCUUUUCACCAUUGAAAAUCUUCCAAUAUAAUCUUUCUAAAUUACACAUUUUUUUUCCUUUAACUUUUCUAAAUAUUUUUUCAUUAACAAAAUAUUUCAAAUCAAGCAACUCUUCUACAUAAGAUUUACUAAUUUUUAAGAAUAAUUUAAAACAAAAAAAUUAAUCCAUUGUUCCUUAUUUGGAUUUUUUAACACAGUUCCAUCAGAAUCAAGGACUUCAUCAACGAGUUGUGAAUGAUUUUUGAUAUGAUGUUCUAGGCCGAGACUUUGAAUCGAUGGCAGAAUUUAAGCCUUCUAGAGGAGAAAGUUUAUGGUGGACAACGGGAUGGAAAUCAGGCUAGAGCAUUGAUGAAAUUAUUGAAUGGAGAGUUUGUGUCCUUCAAUAGAUAGGCCUUUGAAGAGGCAAGCUUUGAUAACAUAAUGAAUUUAGAGAUUUGAAAAAUGAAUGCAAGAAUUAUUGUUGCUUGUUAUUUUAUUCAAAGUUUCUACAAUAUUUUUUAUAUACCAAAAUGCAAUGGAUAGAAAGUGAAAACAAGGAAAGAAAGGAUAUGAUUCUUGAGUUAAAAAUCAUACCCAUGAUUUUAGGAAAUUGAAACUAUAAGGAGAUAAUUAAGGAUAGUCAAAAGGCUAGUUGGUUUCAACGGUCUUAUGCUUGAUUUUCUCAUUGAUGUGUUGGUUUUCAAUUAAAAAUAUAAAAUAGGUUAUAAUUAAAAAUAAAUUUAAAAUAAUAUUGUUUGUUCAUUGUUUUCUGGAACAAUUUUUAAAAAUAAGGAAUGAUUUUUAGACAAGUAGAAGUUGUUGUAUUCAUUUAUUUCUAAAAACAAAACCAAAAUAUAGAAAAAAACUAAUUUAAAAAGUACAAAAAGCAAAUAAAGUAGAAUACAAUUUCUUUCCCUUUUUAUUUUCUCUCCACAAACCAAUAUUGAAAAUCUUCUAAUAUAAACUUUCUAAAUUACACAUCUUUUUUUGAAUUUUCUUUAACUUUUUAAAAUGUUUGUUCAUUAGCAAAAAAUUUCAAAUCAAGCAACUCUUAUACAUAAUAUUUACUAUUUUUUAAAAAUAAUUUGAAACAAAAAAAAAUAAUCCAAUUAAUACUAAGAAAAUUAUAGAAUAUCAAUCACUUUGUUAUUUUUUUUUCAUACAUGAUUAUAUUUUUUCAAAAUUUUCACUAAUAAAAUAUAUUGGAAAUCAAACAAGAUUUAACAAAAAAACUAAGUUAUGAGUUUUUUUAUUAAAUUAAUAUUCAUAUUUUACUAAAAAUGAUUUAUUUUUAAAUUUAUUAAUAGUUACAAACCUAUUUUUUAUUUUAAUAAUAAAAUUAAAAUAAAAAUUGUUUUGGAAAAAAAUGGGUUUUUUUUUUUAUCCAUUAGAAUAAUUUUUAUUUAAGAUAGAAAAAAUGGUUUACUUUUUCUUUACCCACAUAUUUGAACACUUCAAAGUCAUUUCCCAAUUCCCUACCUGACGUUUGAAUUAGAUUCUAAAAGCGUAAACACGCAAAUGGAAUCUUGGAUCUAUUGGUGACUUGUUCCAAAAAGAUUAAAAUAUAUUUAUUCAAAUGAGGUUUUUUUUUUCAUCCUUUGAAAAAUGGUUUUAAAAAUAAUUGUAAAGCACCCUUAUUUUUAGAAAAUAUCAUUUUUUUUAACAUAUUUUUUAAAAUAAAUUUAAGAAUUCCUUUACUUUACCCAUAUAUUCCAUUAAUGACUUUGCAGGCUUCAAAGUCAUUAUCCAACUUGUUGUUUGAUUCCAAAAGCAUAAAACACUGCCUCUCUAGGUUUUCUACAAUUAAUUUUUUUUUUUUAAUCUAUUUGGAUCUAUUUUGCGGGAUGAGAAGGAAGAUUUUGGAGGUCAUAUAAAUAAAUAAUAAUCAAGUUUUCUCAAAAACAUUUUGCUUCUUCCACAAUAAUUUUUUGAGAAGGGAUUAGUGACAAUAAUUUUUGUACAUUUCAUUUAUUAGAUUUUCACCUAAAUUAAUUUUUAUUUAUUUAUUAUUAUUAUUAUUAUUGCUUUGUAUACAUAUAAUACUACACUAAUAAUGUUUUUUUGAGCAUUAUUGUCUCUUUUAAAUUAUACAUAUUAAUGAAAAAUAAUUUUGUUUUUCAUAUUUUUGUUAUAUAUUAGACAAUACUAGGAAUUGGGAAAACAAAAAAACAAAUUCAUAAUUUUAUGUUUACUUUGUGAAGGAAGAUACAAAAGAUGAGAAAUUAGAAAAUGUUUAAAAACUAGUAUAUUUUCUAAUGUUUAUUCAAACUCCUGAAUGUUAACUCCACCAUUGAAUUGGCUUCCAAUAAUUUUAAUGCUAUGCUUGGUUCUAAAAGAAUACUAAGGAAGAAAAAAAAAAGACAAAAAAGAAGAAACUAAGUUCUAUUUGGUUCUCGAUAAAGAAGAAAAGUAGAAGGAAAUAAAAAAUAAAAUAAAAUAGAAAGUUUAAUUUAAAGUAAGUAAAUUAUUUUUAUUAGCUAUAUAUUUCCAAUUUAUUUAACUCAUUUUAACUAUUAUAUAUAAAGAUCAAAUGAUAUGAAAAUACAUAAACUUUUAAUUAAUUUGUAUUAUAUUUGAUUUUAUUUACUAUGUUUUUAUAGUAAUCCAAAGAUAAGAAAACAUUUUCCUUAUUUUUUUAUAGUACUUUUCUAAAAAUCAAACAUAGGAUAGAAAAAAUGAUUUAAGUGAUUCAACUUUCUAAAUAAGUUUAUGCUAUGUUGACUCAUAUGAUAUGGAAAUUUUCACACGCUCAAAGUGGUAUAAGUUGUAUCCAAACUACUACAUCAUACCCCAAAUCUAAUAUAAGAUUUUAAAAAAAAAAAUUGAAUAUCAACAAAUUAUUUUAAAAAAUUUAUUAUUAUGUUUGGAUUAGAAAAGUACUAAAAAAAGGAAAAAAGAAAAAGAAAAAUAAUGUUUUCAUAUUUGGUUUCACUAAAAAGUAUAAAAAAGAAAUUUUAAAUUAGUUUCAAAUUAUUUAAUCAUUAGAUAGAAGAGGAAAAAUAAGUAAAAUAAAUUUAAAGAAACAUACAAAAAUAAUUUAUUAACUUUAAAUAUAUAUUUUAUUUUCCUUCUAUCUAUUUCCUUAUAUUUUCCUCAGAAAUUUUCUGUGAAUAAACAUAACCAAAGUAUUUAACAAUUUAUUGCUCAAAUAGGCUAAGGAUUUUUUAUUUUUAUUUAUUUUUAAACAUUUAAGAUGCUUUUUUUAAGCGAUGACAUAGUUUUAAUAUAACAUUUGCAGAAUAUGGGACUAGACAUGAGGCCAAACGCCCUUUAAAUACUCCCACAUGAGAGUAGGUAGUAUGACCCUUGCUUUUCCUUGCCUGUGCUCUGCUUCUACUUCUGCAAUCAUGAGAAACUCCAAUUCAAUCAUGGUGUUUCUCUUGUUAGCCAUCUUAAGCUUAUGCAAACCAAACUCCUUGGCCUGCAAUGAAAAGGAGAAACAGGCCCUUCUCCGCUUCAAACAAGCUCUCACCGAUCCUGCAAACAGCCUCUCUUCUUGGUCUCUCACUGAAGACUGUUGUGGAUGGGCAGGUGUCCGCUGCAACAACGUGUCUGGUCGCGUAGUUGAGCUCCAUCUCGGUAAUUCAUACGACCCUUAUGCUGUUAAAUUCAAUGGCAGGUCUGCUUUGGGAGGUGAGAUUAGUCCUGCUUUGCUAGAGUUGGAACAUUUGAAUUUCUUGGAUUUGAGCACAAAUGAUUUUGGAGGUGCUCCCAUUCCUAGUUUCCUUGGCUCUAUGAGGAGUCUAAGACAUCUUGACCUCUGGGGUGCUUCAUUUGGUGGCCUAAUACCUCAUCAGCUUGGAAAUCUCUCAAGCCUUCGCCACCUUGACCUAGGAGGAAAUUCUGGGCUUCAUGUUGACAAUUUUAGUUGGAUUUCUCUUCUUUCUUCCUUGGUAUCCUUGGACAUGACUUGGAUUGACCUUCACAGGGAUGCUCAUUGGCUUGAUUCUGUAAGUCUGCUCGCUUCCCUUUCAGAGCUAAUCUUGCCCAAUUGUCAACUUAAUAACAUGAUUUCAUCACUUGGGUUUGUCAAUUUUACAUCUCUCACAGUCCUGUAUCUUCCUUCUAACAACUUCAAUCACAACAUGCCAAGUUGGUUGUUUAAUCUCAGUAGUCUUUCAUCUCUGGACCUGAGUGACAAUUCUCUACAGGGUCAGAUUCCGAGCACCAUAUCAAAUCUUCAGAACAUACACUAUCUAAAUUUAUCAGUCAAUAUGUUAACAGGGCAAAUUCCAGACUCUUCAGGGCAGCUCAAACAUCUAACACUUGUUUCACUUUUUUCUAAUUUCUUAUGUGGCCCUAUUCCUUCACGGUUGGGAAACCUAUCAUCCUUGUCUCGGCUAUAUCUUGAUCAAAAUAAGUUAGAUGGCUCUAUUCCUUCCUCGUUGGGAAACCUAUCAUCCUUGUCUUACUUAUAUCUUUAUAGUAAUAAGUUAAAUGGCACUGUUCCAAGGAAUCUGGGACUUCUUUCAAAUUUGGUGACACUUUACAUCGCAAACAACUCCAUAGAAGGAACAGUGUCGGAAGUACAUUUUGCCAAACUCUCCAAGUUGAAGUACUUAGCCAUGUCUUUUACAUCUGUUGUAUUCAAUGUGAGCCAUAACUGGAUUCCUCCUUUUCAACUUGAAUACUUAGGAAUGGCUUUUUGCAAGAUGGGUCCCAGGUUUCCUCUAUGGCUACAAACACAAAGAUCCCUUCAGAUUUUAGAGUUGUUCGAGGCAGGAAUUGUGGACACAGCUCCAAAGUGGUUCUGGAAGUGGGCUUCACAUAUUCAAAUUAUCAAUCUUGGUUAUAACCAGAUAAGCGGAGAUUUAUCCCAAGUUCUGCUAAAUAGUACUAUCUUCUCUGUAGAUUCUAAUUGCUUCACGGGUCAACUACCACAUUUGUCACCAAAUGUUGUAGCGUUGGAUAUAGGCAAUAAUUCAUUAUCCGGACAGAUUUCCUCUUUCUUGUGCCAAGAGAUGAAUGGAAGAAGCAAACUGGAGAUGCUCUACAUACCAUAUAACGCUUUGUCAGGGGAACUUCCUCAUUGUUUGCUGCACUGGCAAUCUUUGAGUCAUUUAAACUUGGGAAGCAACAAUCUAUCAGGUAAAAUUCCUGAAUUGAUUGGCUCUUUAUUUUCUCUCAAGGCAUUGCAUUUGCACAAUAAUAGCUUUUCAGGAGGUAUACCAUUGUCACUCAGAAACUGCACAUUUUUGGGCCUCAUAGAUUUUGGUGGAAAUAAACUUACCGGAAACAUACCUAGCUGGAUAGGAGAAAGAACACAUCUAAUGGUUCUACGGUUAAGAUCUAAUGAAUUCGUUGGGGAUAUUCCUCCACAGAUAUGCCGACUUUCUUCUCUUAUAGUGUUGGAUCUUGCUGAUAACAGGUUGUCUGGAUUCAUACCAAAGUGCUUGAAAAAUAUCCGUGCAAUGGCUACAGGUCCCAGUCCAAUUGAUGAUAAAUUUAAUGCUUUAACAGAUCAUACAAUUUACACUCCAUACAUAGAGGAUCUUUUGUUGAUCAUUAAAGGCAGGGAAUCAAGAUACGGUAGUAUCCUUCCAUUAGUGAGGAUAGUCGAUCUUUCUAGUAACAAUUUGUCAGGAGCAAUCCCUUCUGAAAUCUCUAGUCUUUUUGGAUUGCAGUCUUUGAACUUCUCUCGAAAUAAUUUAAUGGGAAGGAUACCAGAGAAAAUCGGGGUUAUUGGAUAUUUAGAGUCUCUAGAUCUCUCGAACAACCAUCUUUCGGGUGAAAUUCCUCAAAGCAUCAUUAAUUUGACAUUUCUUAGUCACUUGGACUUGUCAUACAACAAUUUCUCUGGAAGAAUUCCUUCAAGCACACAGCUCCAGAGCUUUGAUGCUCUUGAUUUCAUUGGCAACCCUGAACUUUGUGGAGCUCCUCUCUUGAAAAACUGCACAGAGAAUGAAGAUCCGAAUCCCAGUGAUGAAAAUGGAGACGGCUUCGAAAGAUCAUGGUUUUAUAUUGGUAUGGCAACUGGAUUCAUAGUGAGCUUUUGGGGAGUCUCUGGUGCUCUUCUAUGCAAGAGAGCUUGGAGGCAUGCUUACUUCAAGUUCCUUGACAACAUCAAAGACCGGGUUUAUUUGGCGACAGUGCUAAAAUUGAGCUGGCUUCGCUACCAUUUCAGAAGAUACCGCAUCAGUAAGUGAAAGAUAUAGAUUUUCCAUCUUUCUCUCAUUCAUUUAUUCAAAUGCUUCAGCCAGAGUACUUUGUUUUCAAAUACAAACAUUAACCUACUAUGACCAAAUUUCAGGAAUAAAAUGGAAUUCGAUUUUGACAGGUUUGAGAUGUCCAAGGAGCUACAAACAGGAAAGAAUGGAGGAAAGAGGUAGUGGUGAAUCUUAAGAAAAACAUGUCCAGGUGAAGUGCCUUCUUAGCUCUUAAUCUAGACCUGCCACUUGCUUGUUAUAUAUAGUAGUAGUCUUCCAAAGCUUUUAAGCUCACUAAAUGAAUUAUGACUUACAAAUAUUUUUCAUCAGCAUAUGCAAAAGGAUAAUGCUCACAGAAUAGGAGGGGAUAGGUGAAAGAUCAUGGAGAAGAACUAUAUAUAUAUAUUUUUAUGAUGGAAUCGUGUAACCACUUGGAAUAUUUUUGUCCUGAACAUUCAUCAUGGGCUCAUCCCUAAGAAUGUCAAUCAUAUAAUAGACAUGCUCUACAUAUUAUAGUUGUUUAAGCUUGUUCCAAAUAUGUUUCAGGGUGCAGUACAUACUUCAAUGGCGUGGUGGAAAGAUCUGUACUCAAGUGUAAUGUACUUGGAAUUGCUGUAAUUUAUAAACUUUAUUGAUGUUCUUGUUCAUCAUGAUGUAGUUGCUACUCUUUUAUUUCCUGUUGUAUCCUAAUCACUGCUACUUGGUCAUGGGUUGUUAUAUCAUAAUAAAGUCAACAUGUGGUGUGUUUUAACGUAAUAUUCUAAGGUACCAACUUCAUACCUUAUUAAACUUGCAAUUCUAGCCCUUCAAUUAAUAAAAGACCCUUCAGUAGUUGUGUUCAACCAUAAUGUCAGUUGCUUGCCAUUUUAAUGUGAGGUGAAGCUAAGACCCAGGGGCAAUAACAUUUUAUUUCUCUUAUUUUGUCUUUAGGUUCCAUUUGGAUGGAUUUUUUUUUCUUUUUUAAUUUUUCUUAAUUAGUCAUCAUUAAAAUUAGCAAUAUAUCAUUUUGAAUAUAUAGAAUUAUAUAUAUUCAACUAAAUACAAAUAAAGACAAAACAUUUUAAAAUAUGUGAACAAAAUAAAGUUACACAUUCACAAUUUCAUAAUAUAAAUUUAUCUUAAAAAUGAAGACAUAUCAGUAUGGAGUGGAGAGACUAGUUAUAUACAUUGUUUGGAAUUGGCUCCGAGAUUCAACCUAUGAGACUCAAAAGUUGUUUCUCCUUUACCUGCACAUCAAUUAAAAGAUAAUAAUGUAAUAUAUCUUUAGAAACUUUUAGGCUAUGUUGAGUUUCCAAGAAAUUUGAAAGAAAAUAUAAAGAAAAAAAAAAUAAAAUAAAAAAUAGAUUUAAAAAGAAUAAAUUAUUUUUAUAUGUUAUUUUAAAUUUAUUUAUCUUAUUUUAACUCUUUGAUACAGAAAUUAAAUAAUUUAAAAAUAAAUAAAAUUUUAAUUAAUUUGAACUAUAUUUAAUUUUUUUUAAUAUUUUUUCAUAGGAUAUUCGAAUACGAAAAAAAUCAUUUUCUUUAACAUUUUCUUUAGAUUUCUCAUCCUUGUUUUUUUUUUUGAAGUACCUAGACAUGGUAAAGGUUGACCUUCACAAGGAAGUCCAUUGGCUUGAAUCCAUGUGUAUGUUUCUUCUCUUUCAGAGUUGCAUUUGUUGGGAUAUCACUUGAUAGAAAAAUGGUUUCAUCUCUCAGGUAUAUCAAUUUCACAUCUCUCACUUUCCUUGAUGUUUCUAAGAACAAUUUUAAUAAAAGAAAAUGCCAAAUUGGUUUUUUAAUUUUGUUACUAAAGAUUUUAAGUCUUAUCAAAUAUCAGAGUCCUUGGGCAAUUCAAAUAUCUAGAAUAUCUUGAUCUUUUCUCUUGAAGUGUAGUUCUCCGCAAUUCAAGGAUGUAGGAAUUGAUUGGGUACUCUGGAAAAUUCCUUUUUAUUAACUUAACAUUCUCAUUUUUGGUAUUAGCUACAUGGUUCAUUACUUAUAGAUACACUCAUGAAUUGGAUUAUAGGCCAGAAAUCAAUAUAAAGCCAUGGGAAUCAUUGUUGAAGGACCUAAAAGAAGGCAACAAGAGGAGCAGGUGGAUGGAAAGGGAACCCUAUGCUUACUGGAAGGGAAAUCCAGCGGUAGCUGCAACCAGGCUAGACCUCCUCAAAUGUAAUGUUUCAGAUAAACAGGACUGGAAUGCCCGAGUCUAUACCCAGGUAGCCACUUAUGUUUAUCGUUAGUUUCACCUUUGAUAAAGACUGCAUCACCAACUAGACAGCAUAAAAGCAAAAAUCAGUUUUCGGUUUUGCAUCUUAUGUAGGAUUGGAUUCGAGAAUCACAAGAAGGUUACAAACAAUCAGAUUUAGCAAGCCAAUGCAUUCAUAGGUAAACCAUCUUUCUUUUUUCAUUAAUCUUAUUUUAUAGUCCCACUUUAUUUUAACACAUGUUCCACUGUUUAUAUAGGUAUAAAAUUUAUAUUGAAGGCUCUGCAUGGUCUGUAAGCCAAAAGUACAUUCUUGCCUGCGAUUCUGUUACCUUACUAGUAAAGCCUCAUUACUACGAUUUCUUCACGAGGAGUUUGAUGCCGGUGCACCACUAUUGGCCCAUAAGGGAGGAUGACAAGUGCAGAUCAAUUAAGUUUGCUGUUGACUGGGGCAACCGCCAUAAGCAGAAGGUAUGCAGAAGCUUCAAUCAUGUAUGAAAUAAUCUAGGGUAUAACACUUUUCAUCCUCUGAUAUCUUACAUUAAUUUUGUUAUUGAUUUAUAAUAGGCACAGUCCAUUGGGAAGGCAGCCAGUGAUUUCAUCCAAGAGGACUUGAAGAUGGACAACGUGUAUGACUACAUGUUUCAUCUUUUAAAUGAAUAUGCUAAGCUGUUGAAGUUCAAGCCCACUGUGCCUGAAAAAGCUGUGGAGCUAUGUUCAGAGAGAAUGGGUUGUGGUGCAGAAGGAUUAAAGAAGAAGUUUAUGAUGGAAUCCAUGGUGAAGUAUCCCAUGGAUGCAAGCCCAUGCACCAUGCCUCCCCCCUUCAGUCCUCUAGAGCUUCAAACUUUUCUCAACAGAAAAGUAAAUUCAAUAAAACAAGUGGAGGCCUGGGAGAAGAAAUUUUGGGAGAAUCAAAAUACAUAGACAUUUUCUCUUAAUUUUGCUCAUAAUCACGAUCAACAUAUAUAAUGUUUAUGAUAUAUAUGAGACAAAUGUAUUUAGCCUCGAUUCUCGUGAUACGUACCAUAUAUAUCAUAUUCCUUUUUGGAGUUAUUUAAUUAUAGGUAGGGAUAAACAUGGAAGAAAAAACUAUAUCUUAAUAAGUUAUAUACUUAAUUCAAGAAUAAAUGUAUUUGUGUUGUUCCCUUUUAUUCACAUUCCUUGUCAAAUCUUUCUUAGGAUAACACUUAUCAGACAUACAUUUGUUCCACUGCCUACAGCUUGCAUAGGAGAAAUCUCAAUGCAUAAGAAUAAGGCCUUGUUUGGCUGCUGGUCUUGGACGCCUAUCCUCAAUGGCUACUAGGGGAUGCUGAUCUUCUUCUCAAUCCAACAAUUGAAAAGUCAAGUUUUGAGAGUUUUGGAAGCGGGAAGACAAAAACUUAAAACUGUUUUUAAUGUGGUAUUUAUAAGAUACAAAUACCCAAUGAACUCAAACUAGAAUUUCCAAAUCAGUGAACUAAAUGACUACUAAAAAAUAAUUUGCAUGUGACAAUAUUGAAGAAAAUUCUUAAUUUAUCUUUCAAAUUUAAGUUAAAUGAUGGGUACAAAAUUAAGAAUUAGCCAUUAAGUCAUUAGUCAUGAGAAGUUUGUCUCCAUGCGUAUAUUAGGAGCAUCUUAAAAGAGAUGGUUUUGGCCCUGAGUUUGAGAAAGCUCUUGCUUUCUGAUAGUUAAUUUUGUUUGAGGUGCUCCAAAACCAAUAAUGAAAGCAAAAACCAUUAAGGAAAAUGGUUUUUAAUUUAUUAUAAAACCUAGUAAAAUAAAUAAUAUAUAAUUAAAUUAAUUAGAGACUUAUAUAUUUUAUAAUUUACUCAGAACUAGAAUAAAUGAAAUAAAUUUGAAAUAUCAUAUAAAAAUAAUUUAUUGAUUUUAAAUAUUAUUUUUAUUUUAAUAUAUAAUUAAAUUAAUUAGAGACAUAUUUUAUAAUUUACUCUUUAUAUAGAAGAGUUAGAAUAAAUGAAAUAAAUUUGAAAUAUCAUACAAAAAUAAUUUACCGAUCCUUAAAUAACAUUUUUUUUUCUUUUACCUUUUUUCUUUUUUUCUUGCAAUCUUUGCUCCCUAAUUUUUUCACGUAUUUUCACUCAAACGUAACAUAAAAGUAGAUGUGUAUCAUGAGCUUAUAAUGCAUCCUUGCAAAUUUAUAUUGCAUAGUAGAGAUAAAAAGAUUUUCUUUUGUUGCGGUGAAUAUAUAUAUAUAAAAUGAUUUGAUUUUUACAAUUAUGUUCCCACGAGUUUUAUUUUGGUUUUAUUUGAAAAUGGUUUUUAAAUUUAUUUUAUUUUAAUAGAAUAAAAAUGAUAAAUCAAGGAAUUUUUUAGCACAUUCCUAGCUCCGCCACCGAUGAUAGGUGCUACUAACUUGUUUUCUUGUUAUAUGGUCAUAAACUAAGCAUUAGUAUAUUUUCAUAGAUAUUUUUUGCAGUUAUUUGAACUAAUAAAACAGCCACUUAGAAGAUUCCAAACCAUAAUGACUCAGUUUGGCAAGGAAAUGGGAAAGCUAGGAUGGAUGGUGGUGCUUUAGCCCCCAUCACCAUUGAAGUAUUUAUACAAGUGGCCGGGACUUGGGAGGAGCACAAGCUUUUCAAAGCAAAAGAAAUUUCUUUCAGAUAUUAAAUAAUUGAAGUAAAGAGAGAUCUUGAUCACAAGUCUUGAAAGUUAGUUUAUAUGCGUUUACCCCGUAGUCUAAGUCCACAUGUUUGAACGGUGUCCAACUAAGACCACUUGUUUGAAUGGUGUCCAAUUAAUUGCUUUACUUUAUUGUUCCCUUCGAGUGGCAGUCCAUUUGGACAAAUUCAAAGGAGCCUUACGUUUUUCACUUACAUUUAUGUCAUGGAGGAUGCAGAAAAUGCAUCAAAGUAAUUGAUAUUGGAGGAAAAUCAUCUUCUAUGAAGUAGUAAAAUAUUGGUUAAAAGAAAAAACUGAUCUUUGUGUUCUCUGUGGAAUUUUGACUGGACAAAAUAUGAGAGCCCUUGCAAUGAUUGUUAUAUGUUGAAAGAUGUUUCAAAUUUCUACUUGGAGUUAAUAUUUUUUUUUGUAAUUUUUUUUUAUAUUCAUAUCUCAUUGUAAUAUUAGAUUUUAAUAUAAAAUAAAUAAAAUAAUUAAAAUAUAUUUAUUAAUAUUAUAGAUCAUGAUAAGAAAAAGUUAUGAAAUAAAUAUCAACUUGGAAAUAUCAUACCUACUGAGAGGAUGUAUGGGAGACACGUAGGGGAGGAAUAAACUGCAUUUCGUUUUUGUCAUCCCUAAUAUUUGGAAUGAAUCUAACUUUUGGAUUGUUUUAUGUCCGCUGGAGCAGCAAUAUACGUAUUUCCUUCUUUGAACUCUUCCUCUACUGGGUUGUUCAGCAAUCAUGAGAAAAUUGAAAGCAAUUCUAGGUGUUCUCUUGCUUUGGUUUCUGUGCUCAACAAUUUUAAGGUCAUGCAGGGCAAACAACUUGGUUUGUAAUGAAAAGGAGAAACAAGCCCUUCUGAGCUUCAAACACGCUCUUCUUCACCCUGCAAACCAGCUGUCUUCUUGGUCUAUUAAAGAAGACUGUUGUGGAUGGCGAGGAGUCCACUGUAGCAAUGUGACUGCUCGAGUUCUCAAGCUCGAACUGGCUGAUAUGAAUUUGGGAGGUGAGAUUAGUCCUGCUUUGCUCAAAUUAGAAUUUUUGGAUCACUUAGACUUGAGCUCGAAUGAUUUUAGAGGUUCUCCCUUUCCAAGUUUUUUGGGUUCCAUGGGGAGUCUAAAAUUUCUGGACCUCUCCUAUACUUAUUUUGGUGGACUAGCUCCUCCUCAGCUUGGAAAUCUCUCCAAACUUCUCCACCUGAAUCUGGGACAUAGUGGGCUUUAUGUUGAAAACUUGAAUUGGAUUUCUCAUCUUUCUUCUUUGAAAUACUUAUACAUGGAUGGGAUUGACCUUCAUAGGGGACGCCAUUGGCUUGAACCCAUAGGUAUGCUCCCUUCCCUUUUAGAGCUGCACUUGUCCAAUUGUCAACUUGAUGGCAAUAUGACUUCAUCUCUCGGGUAUGUCAAUUUCACAUCUCUCACAGUCCUUGAUCUUUCUGAGAACAAAAUCAAUCAAGAAAUGCCAAAUUGGUUGUUUAAUCUCAGUAGUCUUGCUUCUUUAAGUCUAUCAGAUAAUCAAUUCAAGGGGCAAAUUCCAGAGUCCUUGGGGCACUUCAAAUAUCUAGAAUAUCUUGAUCUUUCUUCUAAUUCCUUUCAUGGCCCUAUUCCUACAUCCAUAGGAAACUUAUCCUCCUUGAGGGAAUUAAAUCUUUAUUAUAAUCGGUUAAAUGGUACUCUUCCUACGAGUAUGGGGCGUCUUUCAAAUUUGAUGGCCUUGGCUCUGGGACAUGACUCCUUGACCGGUGCUAUAUCAGAAGCACAUUUUACAACACUUUCAAACUUGAAGACAGUACAGAUAUCAGAGACAUCCUUAUUUUUCAAUGUGAAAUCCAAUUGGACUCCUCCUUUUCAGCUUCAAUUUCUGUUAAUUUCUUCUUGCAAGAUAGGUCCCAAGUUUCCGGCAUGGCUGCAGACCCAAAAGUCUCUUUCCUAUCUAGACUUUUCCGCGUCAGGAAUUGAGGACACAGCUCCGAACUGGUUCUGGAAGUUCGCCUCAUACAUCCAACAGAUCCAUCUCUCUAAUAACCAGAUAUCUGGGGACUUACUCCAAGUUGUACUAAACAAUGCUAUCAUCGAUUUGAGUUCUAAUUGCUUCUCAGGUCGGUUACCAUGUCUCUCUCCGAAUGUUGUUGUGUUGAAUAUUGCUAACAAUUCAUUUUCGGGACCGAUUUCCCCUUUCAUGUGCCAAAAGAUGAAUGGAACAAGUCAAUUGGAGGUCCUUGACAUAUCAAUUAAUGCUUUAUCCGGGGAAAUUUCUGAUUGUUGGAUGCAUUGGCAAUCUCUUACUCAUAUAAAUAUGGGAAGCAACAAUCUAUCUGGUAAAAUCCCCAAUUCCAUGGGUUCUUUGGUUGGACUUAAAGCAUUGAGCUUGCACAACAAUUCCUUCUAUGGAGAUGUACCUUCAUCACUAGAGAACUGCAAGGUUUUGGGGCUGAUAAAUCUAAGUGACAAUAAAUUUUCGGGGAUUAUACCCAGGUGGAUUGUUGAGAGGACAACUGUAAUGGUUAUCCAUUUAAGAACCAAUAAAUUCAACGGCAUUAUUCCUCCACAAAUAUGUCAACUUUCUUCUCUUAUAGUAUUGGAUUUAGCUGAUAAUAGUCUAUCAGGAGAGAUACCGAAGUGCUUGAAUAAUUUCAGUGCUAUGGCUGAAGGACCUAUCCGGGGUCAGUAUGAUAUUUUGUAUGAUGCUUUGGAAGCAGAGUAUGAUUAUGAAUCUUACAUGGAAAGUCUUGUUUUAGAUAUAAAGGGGAGGGAAUCAGAGUAUAAAGAGAUUCUUAAAUAUGUUAGGGCCAUCGA
rnacentral:lncRNA from 1 species